rnacentral:rRNA from 1 species
AGUGAACGCUGGCGGUAGGCCUAACACAUGCAAGUCGAACGGCAGCACAGUAAGAGCUUGCUCUUACGGGUGGCGAGUGGCGGACGGGUGAGGAAUACAUCGGAAUCUACUUUUUCGUGGGGGAUAACGUAGGGAAACUUACGCUAAUACCGCAUACGACCUACGGGUGAAAGCAGGGGAUCUUCGGACCUUGCGCGAUUGAAUGAGCCGAUGUCGGAUUAGCUAGUUGGCGGGGUAAAGGCCCACCAAGGCGACGAUCCGUAGCUGGUCUGAGAGGAUGAUCAGCCACACUGGAACUGAGACACGGUCCAGACUCCUACGGGAGGCAGCAGUGGGGAAUAUUGGACAAUGGGCGCAAGCCUGAUCCAGCCAUACCGCGUGGGUGAAGAAGACCUUCGGGUUGUAAAGCCCUUUUGUUGGGAAAGAAAAGCAGCAGGUUAAUACCCCGCUGUUCUGACGGUACCCAAAGAAGAAGCACCGGCUAACUUCGU